GGGCAGCCCUCCGCAGGGGGCGAACCCGGGGGCUGCGCUGCGGCUCCGCACUCGCGGCUCCGCCUCAGCCGCAGGCAGCCCCCGCAGAGCCGCCCCCGGCCCCGCACCGCGCCGCGCCGCAGGCAGCCCCCCGGCGCCCCGGGAAGCGUUGCGGACCGACGGCUUGCACGUAGGUGGUCAGCAGAAGGCAGCUCUGCGCCUUAAGUGGCAACGUAGAGAAAAGAUGUGAGGGUCUGCAGCGAAGCACAGCAGAGGGUCCGGAGGACAGAGCGUGUUGCAGGCGCUUGGCAGCACACGGCCUCGGGAGGGGGAACAGACGCCAUGGGUCAAGCUGGGGCAUAAGGUUGAGAACGAAAAAAGCAAACAAAGAUGUUCAAAAGUGCAGGCCGUGGCAAAACAGGAAUGUGUGGAUAAAUUAAAUAACAUCACUAAUCGGCAAAUGAAACAAAAGAUUACUGUAAGGAAGAAUGACUGUUUGAAAAUGGAGAAUGAAAACACGAUAGAAGAAAAAGACAAAAAGAGUUUUUCAUCUGGGGAGAGCUCAAAAUUGAUUAAAAUGCCAAUGAAAUGUAAAAUUGCCCUGAAUGCCAAAGUUGCAAACAAAAGUAAAAGACAGCCUUCAAAGCAGAGGGCUCAUCAGCAGAUGAGCUCUUCCAGUGGCAAUCAUGGUCAAGUACCGGAUGAUAGCACUUCCAGUGAAACAUCUG